GUCGAACGAGAAUCUACUGAAAGAGUUUUCGGACAAUGGAAGUAGAGGAAAGUGGCGGACGGGUGAGUAACGCGUGAGGAACCUGCCUUGAAGAGGGGGACAACAGUUGGAAACGACUGCUAAUACCGCAUGGCGCAUAGAGGUCGCAUGAUCUUUAUGCCAAAGAUUUAUCGCUUCAAGAUGGCCUCGCGUCUGAUUAGCUAGUUGGCGGGGUAACGGCCCACCAAGGCGACGAUCAGUAGCCGGACUGAGAGGUUGAACGGCCACAUUGGGACUGAGAUACGGCCCAGACUCCUACGGGAGGCAGCAGUGGGGAAUAUUGGGCAAUGGGCGCAAGCCUGACCCAGCAACGCCGCGUGAAGGAAGAAGGCUUUCGGGUUGUAAACUUCUUUUAAGAGGGAAGAGCAGAAGACGGUACCUCUAGAAUAAGCCACGGCUAACUACGUGCCAGCAGCCGCGGUAAUACGUAGGUGGCAAGCGUUGUCCGGAUUUACUGGGUGUAAAGGGCGUGCAGCCGGGUCUGCAAGUCAGAUGUGAAAUCCAUGGGCUCAACCCAUGAACUGCAUUUGAAACUGUAGAUCUUGAGUGUCGGAGGGGCAAUCGGAAUUCCUAGUGUAGCGGUGAAAUGCGUAGAUAUUAGGAGGAACACCAGUGGCGAAGGCGGAUUGCUGGACGAUAACUGACGGUGAGGCGCGAAAGUGUGGGGAGCAAACAGGAUUAGAUACCCUGGUAGUCCACACUGUAAACGAUGAAUACUAGGUGUGCGGGGACUGACCCCCUGCGAAAGGCAGUAAACACAAUAAGUAUUCCACCUGGGGAGUA
rnacentral:rRNA from 1 species